UCCGUCUCAAAAAUAAAAAAAAGCCCAGGUGCGGUGGUUCAUGCCUGUAAUCCCAGCACUUCGGGAAGCCGAGGCAGGCAGAUCACCCGAGGUCGGGAGUUCGAGACCAGCCUGACUAACAUGGAGAAACCCUAUCUCUACUAAAAAUACAAAAUCAGCUGGGUGUGGUGGCACAUGCCUGUAAUCCCAGCUACUCAGGAGGCUGAGGCAAGAGAAUUGCUUGAACCUGGGAGGCGGAGACAACAAGAGCGAAACUCCGUCUCAAAAAAAAAAACAAAACAAAACAACACACACAAAACAAACAAACAAAAAAGCCAAAUAUAUAGAUGAGCUUGGAAGUACCUCCAAGUACCAGAAGGCCAUACUAUUCAUCUACAAUGCAGCUGGAGAGGUCUUUAAAAAUAAAACAAAACAUAAAGUAGAUCGAUCAUUUCACAUCCUACUAAAAACCUUCCAGUGGCUUCCUAAUUGCAAAUCAAAGCCACAUGCUAUGGGAUAAACAAAUCAGCUCUAAAGGACCAAAGUUGAGACCACUGACUGUGUGUGCCUCAGGGGUCUGGAACUGAGCUCCUGGCCAGAGCUGCCGACCCGAAGCCUUUGGUGAAGAGUCUAGGGAAAAGCCAGGGCCCCGGGCCUGGGCUGCAUAGGUGUGCCAAGUUCCCCCAAGACUCAUGCAGCAUGGAAGCCCUGCCCUGGGAACCAGUGAACCUGGUAAGAACUUAGCAGAGACAACCAUAAAAUUGUCCCAAGAAAUACCUCCAUAAGUCAAGACACAUGCAGGACCCCACAGAAUAUAAGCUCCACCAAAGAUGAUCUCACAGACAACAAUGACAAAACAAAUAGUCUUACACCAGUUCUAGUGGUAGUUCUUACAUAACAGCCUUUUAUUUUAUUUUGUUUUAUUUAUUUAUUUAUUUAUUUUU
rnacentral:lncRNA from 1 species